rnacentral:rRNA from 1 species
UACAGAGGAGCCAAGCGUUUGUCCGGAUUGACUGGGCGUAAAGCGCACGCAGGCGGUCGUGCGCGUGGGGUGUGAAAUCUGGCCGCUUAACGGCCAGGCGCCAUCCCAUACGGCACGACUGGAGCGAUGCAGAGGUCGGUGGAAUUGCCGGUGUAGUGGUGAAAUGCGUAGAGAUCGGGCAGGAACACCCAGGGGGGAAACCAGCCGACUGGGCAUCUGCUGACGCUGAGGUGCGAGAGCGUGGGGAGCGAACCGG